rnacentral:rRNA from 1 species
UACGGAGGGUCCAAGCGUUGUCCGGAAUUAUUGGGUUUAAAGGGUGCGUAGGCGGCUAAUUAAGUCAGAGCUGAAAUCUUACGGCUUAACCGUGAAACUGGCUUUGAUACUGAUUAGCUUGAGUAUAGUAGAGGUAGGCGGAAUUUAUGAUGUAGCGGUGAAAUGCAUAGAUAUCAUAAAGAACACCGAUUGCGAAGGCAGCUUACUGGACUAUAACUGACGCUGAGGCACGAAAGCGUGGGUAGCGAACAGG